ACUGAACGCUGGCUGCAGGCCUAACACAUGCAAGUCGAACGAGUGGCGGACGGGUGAGUAAUGUCUGGGAAACUGCCUGAUGGAGGGGGAUAACUACUGGAAACGGUAGCUAAUACCGCAUACCAUCAGAUGCGCCCAGAUGGGAUUAGCUUGUUGGUGGGGUAACGGCUCACCAAGGCGACGAUCCCUAGCUGGUCUGAGAGGAUGACCGGCCACACUGGAACUGGGACCCGGUCCAGACUCCUACGGGAUGCAUCAGUGGGGAAUGUUGCACAAUGGGCGCAAGCCUGAUACGGCCAUGCCGGGUGUAUGAAGAAGGCCUUCGGGUUGUAAAGUACUUUCAGCGGGGAGGCGUUAACCGCAGAGGGAGCACCGGCUAACUCCGUGCCAGCAGCCGCGGUAAUUC
rnacentral:rRNA from 1 species